CUAGCUGUAAACGAUGGAUACUAGGCGUUGAGAGUAUCGACCCCCUCAGUGUCGUAGCUAACGCGUUAAGUAUCCCGCCUGGGGAGUACGCGCGCAAGCGUGAAACUCAAAGGAAUUGACGGGGGCCCGCACAAGCGGUGGAGUAUGUGGUUUAAUUCGAUGCAACGCGAAGAACCUUACCAGGGCUUGACAUGUCCGGAACCCUGCCCAAAGGCGGGGGUGCCUACGGGAACCGGAACACAGGUGGUGC
rnacentral:rRNA from 1 species